rnacentral:rRNA from 1 species
UACAGAGGUCUCAAGCGUUGUCCGGAUUCAUUGGGCGUAAAGGGUGCGUAGGCGGCGCGGUAAGUCGGGUGUGAAAUCUCGGGGCUUAACUCCGAAACUGCAUUCGAUACUGCCGUGCUUGAGGACUGGAGAGGAGACUGGAAUUUACGGUGUAGCGGUGAAAUGCGUAGAUAUCGUAAGGAAGACCAGUGGCGAAGGCGGGUCUCUGGACAGUUCCUGACGCUGAGGCACGAAGGCCAGGGGAGCAAACGGG